CCGGUGAAUGACUUAGCCACUUAACCUUAUUAGGAGUAAUAUGUAUGUGGUAAAGGUUAGCUAAUGGGUUUAGCUAAUGAAAUACAAUUUAUGAUAUUACGAAGUGAAAGUGUAGGAGCAGGGAAAAAAAAAAAAAAAAAAAAAAGAAGGCCUCCUGGUUUGUGCCAAGGUUAAGUUUGUGGACUUCCAGCUGAGGCACGUGAGCCCAAGAUCUCCACCUGCUGAGGUAAUCAGCCAGCCCAGGCCUACAGGUAGCUGCAAGAAGCUUAACGUGUGGAGAAACUAACUUCUCCUUACAAAGAUAUGAUUCUAACUAUUUCGACCAGACUGUCUUGGGGCCCUACCUCUCAGGAACUGAGUGCUGGAAAACCUCCACUGGAAAAAAACAAAAAACCAAAAAAACAACAACACCCUUUUAAAAGAGAGGAUAUCAGAAGUAUACAUCUUUUAUCCAUGCCCCACACACUUGCAUGUGAAGGGAGAGCACCAGCUGUUUUUCUCAUGGAGGCACUAUGGAAAACACACCUCUCAAACUGGGGCUCACAGCCAGGACAACUGGUGAUGGUGACACAAAAAAGCAACUCAUCACAGUGUUGGUGACCAGUUAGAAACCGUUUCAUGCAACGCAUCCUUUAGCCUUUGAGGUGUGCACCUAUGGGGAUGAGACUGACAGUAGUAAGUCGAAGGUAAGGCUACCUCUGGAUGGUACUAAACACAAUAGGCUAGGAAGGAUUUCCUUUUUUUCUUUUCCUCUCCUUUU
rnacentral:lncRNA from 1 species